GGCUUUCUAUGUCAUAAGAUGCGCAUGUGCUGUGAAAAUGAACUAGGACCAUGCAGAGAGCGCUUCAGUAUUCCUUAACCUUUCAGCACUUGCUGUGGUCACUCCGCAUCCUGGCUGUGAUCAUCAAGGUUGAUAAUCUCAGCUGAUUCAAUGUUCCACAUAGGGAAGCCUCGGGGCUGCUAGUGUGCAUGCGUGGAGCAGCAAUUGAUUGAGAACCAAGUCUAACUAAGUUCUCAUAAGGAAACGCCUUUAAUGACUUGUGAGGAAACGCCUUAAAUUUUGUUUAACACUGCAAUGGAACACUAGUUUCUACAAAACUGCAAUGUUUUACAUUGUAGUGUUAAAACUAAAGGGCUCCUGCUCCCAGACUUUAUUGAGAUGCCUUCACUGGUCCUUUAAGCCAAAGAUCUCUGUUAGUGGCCACUGUAUGUACCCAGCUGGAACUUGAGCUCUUCCAUAUGUUCAAGUUUUCGAGCGAGACUCCAAAGAUAUUAUGGCACCACAUGUGCCACGCAGCUUUCCUCCAAGGAGUAGUCCACAACUAUCGGACCAAUCAAUCUACUCCAGGGAGCCUGACCUAAAAUAAAUGAUCCAGGACCUAUCUUCAAAGGAAGAUCAGACCUCCAUGUUGGCAAGGCUGAAGGCUUCUUUCCAUGAACAGGCCUUGUGUUCGGACAUGCGCCUGAUCG